rnacentral:lncRNA from 1 species
AUGGGUUCUGGCUUCUGGUUGGGUUUGGCUGCUGUUGGCAUCAGCAGGACAUGGAGAUGGAGGGCGCAGAGGGAGGUGGAGAUGUUUAUUACACCCACAUGUUCCCUUCCAACUCAAGAUGGAUGCCUGCAUCCCACUUCCCAUGGGUGGCUCUUUCCUUGUAGCUACUCUCUGGGUGCUCCAAAUCUCCCUAUCUGGGACUCUUCAAACCAGAAGUUAUCCAAUGAUGAUCUCCUCCAAAAGGACGGAUUCUCCCACAGGGCUCCCCUAACGGCGCGGAGAUGCUGGCGCUGGCCCUAGCUGUUGAAGAAUGAGAGGUCUAUGCGGAACACAGGAAUGGGAGUGGACCUGUGGGUCCAGAUUGAGGAGGCCCACCAGGGUGUAGAGUCCCCCAGCUCGGCCCUCUUGGACACUUUCCCUGGGUGGUCUGCACCCCAUCCAAAGUCUGUAAUCAAGCCAUCAAAACUAAUAGGAUGAUUUCUGCAUUAAAUGAAAUUAUGGAUGAAGAAUGGAGGAAGCAGACUAAUGGUUCUAAUGGUUUUCCCCAACCUUUCACUUCUCAAUAAAGUGCAGUCAUCUGAUUCCUUGUUUGUGUGCUAGGAAAAUGAUGACUCCUCUGAGAAGCUCUUAGCGAUACUCAUUUUCUUCCUUGUUCCCUUAUGUCUCCUGGGUGGGUUCAGGCAGGAGACACCAUGAUGGAGAUGGGCGGUAAGUCACAGUCUGUCCCUUAGGUGAGCUUCUGGUUUCCUACCAGUUUCAUUGCUUGCCACAUGUGUAGUAGUCAAAAAUAUUUAAUUUUUAAUUACAAGAGUGUGACAAGAAUACAAUCGUAUUAUUAAAAAACAGAGAGAAGACAAAAACUUCGUUUUACCUGACUCCUCCGCUCAACUCCCUUUCUCAGAAGUACCUAUCAUUGUUGAUUUGGGAAAUAUCCUUCUCUAUAUAUGUUGUGGUUUGAAAAUAUGUCCACAGUUAUUUGAUACUACUUCUUCAAAAGGUGAAGCCUAAUCUCCCUCACCUUAAGUGUAGGAGGUACUUAGUGACUUGCUCUUUAAAGUAUAGAAUGUGGCAGAAGUAGUGACUUGUGGUGUCUGAGAUUGGGAAUGGGAUGACGCUGAGUUUUCCCCCUCAUUCUAGAUCUCCGGGACCACCUGCUCUGGGGAAAGCCAGCUACCAUGCUGCGAGGUAGACCUAAGGAGAGGCCCAUAUUGUGGGGAACUGAGGCCUCCUGCCAAGAGCCGUAUGAUUGAGCCUUAAAGAAAUUAUUGUAAUAGAUUCUGAGGCUGGUGAGGGCACAGGCUCCAUGAUGUCAAGGUUCUGUGUUCCUGGAAAUGAGCAGAGGACAGAGCACAUAAUCCCCAGGGACAUUUUUCUGUUGACAAAGAGUACCUCAGAGUUUAUAUAAUAGGUAUGACUAGCCCCAGAGCUUGGGUUAUGUGGUGGUUGCUUACAUUUGCUGCCCAAAUUACCCUUCAGGAUAAGAACACUUAUUAUCUCAACUGCUGGGAGUGCAGCUGGCAGAAAGUCCUCAGCAAUCAACACCCUUCAGGGAUUUCUGAAGAGAGCCAAAGAGAAGCCCCCUUCCAGCAGCCCAUGUCCAGUGGUCGAUGAAUGGAUGGUAUGGAGCCCAGGCCUCUCACUCCAGCUCAGGGGAGUUCUGAAGGGUCAUCGCAUCCUCAGAGCUCCCUGCAGGACUGACUGAGACGUUCCACUGAGACUGCAUUCAGCUAGACCUUAUCCUCUGCCCAACCCUGCUCCCCUCUCUUUCCUUUCCCAGGUGUUGAUAUCAAAAGAACUCCCCAGCAAACCUCCUACAUGUUAAUCUCUGUCUCAGAGUUGGCUUCCUGGGAAACUCAAGCAGGGAUGGUGGGCACCAGGGUGUUCUAAAAAAGCAGAUGAUGGCAUAGGGUUUUAGAACUGGAUUAUUGGCCACCCAGCUGGCAUCACUGUUUGGAGUGAUUCUCCUUUUGGGAAUGAAAUAGCAGGGUUUUUAUUUUAUUUUUAAACUUUUUAUUUUAUAUUAGGGUAUAUAGCAAAUAUACUUUUUAUUUUACAUUGGCAUAUAGCCAUCACCUUCCCUAGUGGCUCAGUUAAGAAUCUGCCUGCAAUGCAGGAACCCAGGUUCAAUCCCUGAGUCAGGAAGAUCCCCGGAAGGAUCUUCCUGNNNNNNNNNNNNNNNNNNNNNNNNNNNNNNNNNNNNNNNNNNNNNNNNNNNNNNNNNAGGAGCCUGGCAGGCUACAGUCCAUGGGGUCACAAGAGUCAGACACGACUCAGUGACUAAACCACCACCAUAGCCAAUUAACAAAGUUGUGAUAGUUUUAGGUGAACAGUGAAAGGACUCAGCCACACAUAUAUAUGUGUCCAUUCUCCUUCAAACUCCCCUUCCAUCCAGGCCAUGAAAUGGCAGAUUUUUAGAAAGCAAUUUAUACCUUUCUGUAAUAUUUGACUUAUAUCCAAGUAUCAUAUUGCUUUCAUUUGUAAAUGGUUAGUAGAAAAUGUCUGAGAUGUGGUAUUAUAAGCAAUUUAAAUUUUAUUCUUUACAUUUUUUGUUUUAAAAACAAAAUGAUUGAAUGAGGUUUAAGAAUAUCUAGAAAUCAGGGAAAGAAUUGGGGAGUGGUUUACUAUUCUGUUCCUGUCUUUGGGCUGCAAAUAUUUGUCAGUUAGAUUCUAAAACUUCAGACAAAGCAGCCUGGUGGAGAAUCCAUUUGUGUGUCAUCACCUGGCAGCUUCUCCAGCCCUCACCCACCACCCCCGCCUUCCCAGUAAGAGGAGCCACCUCCUAGAGGGNNNNNNNNNNNNNNNNNNNNNNNNNNNNNNNNNNNNNNNNNNNNNNNNNNNNNNNNNNNNNNNNNNNNNNNNNNNNNNNNNNNNNNNNNNNNNNNNNNNNNNNNNNNNNNNNNNNNNNNNNNNNCAGGGUCAGGGCAGUUUCUGGCAUCAGCUGAGUCCUCUUUCCACCGCGUCUACCUCCAUCUCUCCCUACACAGUUCUCUCUCAGGGGCCACAUCAGUGGACCUGCCAGCUGGUCUCAGCCAGGGCAACUUUAGCUCCUCAGAGAUUCUGUAGGAACCUUGGUUGUCAAAGGGAUUCAGCUUCCUUCUUCUUAGGAGUUCUGCUUCUGUGCAAACGUGUGGGAGCAAAGAGAGACCUGCCGGGAUGCCUGCAAGCAUCGAAGAACCAUGUAUUCUAUCCUGGUGGAUAAUACAUCAGGGGAGGGCUGGCGGGCCACCAUUUGUCUACAGAGUCUGAAUCCAGGCCCUCAUUCAGUUUAGUAUCCUCUAUUGGUGUAACAAUAAUUCACAAAGGGAGGACUCGCUCCAUGGCUCCUGUUACAUUUCUGGUAGCCAGUUAGAUUCGAGAUAAAAUUGUUAGGUUUGGUCAGUGCCCUCAGGUUCUAUCUCUCUUUGUCUCCCAGGGAAUGUCAAGCCUUCCCAGGGAGUAUCAAUUCCUCAGGGGCCCUGAGGGAGGGUUAGUGAUUCUGUAUCCCAGCAUUUUGGUUCAGNNNNNNNNNNNNNNNNNNNNNNNNNNNNNNNNNNNNNNNNNNGGAAGAGUUCUUCCUUCUAAGUUCUAAGCCAGAACUUCACGACUCUGCAUUUGACUGUGGAACACUGGUCCUGCUGUGGGAUUGGCUGUUUUCUGUUUGGGGAUUAGUGCAGCUACUGGUUUCUCUUCACAUCUGAUUUGGAGAUGCUAAGGGUGUGCCUCUGAUCCAAGCUCCCUUAAUUAUCCUAAUGAUUCAACAGGAAUUUAUCAAGUAGCCGCUAUGUGAUGGCCAAAUGACCCCACACUGCCUUCAGCUUAGAAAGUUUAUAUGCCGUUGCUAAACAACAUCACUGUAGUGAAAAAAGUGAGGCAGGUAUCCAAGGGUGGAGAAAGGCAUCCAAGAACCUGUUUAUAGCUUCAAUGCCCUCAGGGCAUGAAGCCUCGGAACAGCUAGGAUGGACCUGGGAAGGACUGGGGUAAGUUCUAAAUAGGAGGAAUAAAGAAAUCUACUCAACUCAUAUCCUCGGUGACUUCUGGAAAUAGCCUCCCAGCUCCAGUGCUCCAGUGCCCUGGUGGGUAGCUGUCCAUUGUCAUAUUCUGGCAUCUCAAUCUCUGCCCGUGCUUAUCCCCUAAAGCUGUUCUUCCUCCUGAAGUUGGUGGCAGGUGGUACGCCCUGGGAAGUCAACUGGGGAGGCCAUAGCCUUUGUGAGUAGGAGGGAGUUAGCCAGAAGGAAAAGUCAUGGCUAUCUUAGAGACAGUCUCCAGGAAGGCGAGAGGCUAUGAGGAGGCUCUUGCCCCUGACUCAGACUUGUGUAGGGAGUCCAAUUCCUUCCUUUUUCUGGGCUUCAGGGAGUCUAUGCUUGAGAUUACUACUAGUGAUGGGGAAAAGUGACUACCCAACCCUUCCCCUCCCUACUCACUUAUGGUAAUCGGGCGGGCUGCUAGGUUAGGUAAUAAGCAACCCUCAAAUCUCCGUGGGUUAACCCAGAAAGAGUUUAUUGUUUGUGUCACAGUCGAGUGCAGGCUCUAUGUCCCUCCUGGGCAGCUGUUCUUCAAGUAGAAACUCAAGGAAUCUGGCUGCUUCUACCUGGCAAUGCCAUCAUUUCAGAAUUCUUUACUUCCAAUCAUACCAACAGGAGAGAGGGUGAGCCAAGGUUCUUAGGGGAAUCUUAAGAAAGCCAGGCACAGGCAGAAAUUAUGACAUAGCUUCAAUUUAGCAGUCAGGCAGGCUGAAGCGCUAGUCUUUCCAUGUCUGCAGGAGAGGAAAUGGGGUGGUCAGCACCAUGCCUGUGUCUAUUAUAUACAUGCAGAGUCUUCAGCCCCCACGGUUGUUGCAGCUACUUAGUUUUCAGAUGUCCCUGCAGACCUGUGUCCCUCUCCAGUACAGAGGUUCAUCCUUCUUGACUUUUUAAAACUUCAACGGUCACCUGUGUACUGCUCGUGUAUAAAUAUUUGAGCCUUAAGGCACUGUGUGAUGCCAUGACCACCAUGGAGUAAGUUGCUGGACGAUGUUUGCUUAGCUGAAUGAAGGGAGAAAGCUAAGCAUGUCUGGAGACGCCGUCUCUGAAUCAAAUUUAAAGUGUCAACUACAAACUGGCACUUGCCUGUCAACUACAGAUUGGCUCUUGCCAAGAGCAUUUGCCAGCGACUGAACAGCAACAACCAGGGCAUCUGUCUUCUGCCUCUGCAGAGAUUGAACCCUGUGCUGUUGCAGCUGCUGACCUUCAACAGCCGCUGAG